CUACGGGAGGCUCCAGUGAGGAAUAUUGCACAAUGGGGGGAACCCUGAUGCAGCAACGCCGCGUGGAGGAUGACGCAUUUCGGUGUGUAAACUCCUUUUAUAUGUCAAGAAAAUGACGGUAGCAUAUGAAUAAGCACCGGCUAACUCCGUGCCAGCAGCCGCGGUAAUACGGAGGGUGCAAGCGUUACUCGGAAUCACUGGGCGUAAAGGACGCGUAGGCGGGUUGGAAAGUCAGGUGUGAAAUCCUACAGCUUAACUGUAGAACUGCACUUGAAACUUCUAAUCUAGAGUAUGGGAGGGGGAGAUGGAAUUAGUGGUGUAGGGGUAAGAUCCGUAGAUAUCACUAGGAAUACCUAAAGCGAAGGCGAUCUCCUGGAACAUUACUGACGCUAAGGCGUGAAAGCGUGGGGAGCAAACAGGAUUAGAUACCCCUGUAGUC
rnacentral:rRNA from 1 species